CGGUAAUUCCAGCUCCAGUAGCGUGUAUAAAAGUUGCUGCGGUUAAAAAGCUCGUAGUUGGUCAUUCGCUCUAGAUGGCAGGUCCGCCGUCUGGGUGAGUAUCUGGCUUGUCUCGGGCAUCUUCAUGGGGAACGAAACUGCACUUGACGGUGUGGAUCGGUAGCCAUGAUUUAACUUUGAGGAAAUCAAUGUGUUUCAAGCAAGCAUGCGCCUUGAAUCCAUUAGCAUGGAAUACGUUUAUAGGACCGUUGUUAUUUUUUGUUGGUUUAUAGAAUAAUAGUAAUGGUUGACAGGGAUAGUUGGGGGUAUUUGUACUUAACUGCCAGAGGUGAAAUUCUUGGAUUUGUUAAAGCCAUAGUACUGCGAAGGCAUUUGCCAAGGAUGUUUUCAUUGAUCAAGAACGAAAGUUAGGGGAUCGAAGACGAACAGAUACCGUCCUAGUCUCAACCAUAAACCAUGCCAACUAGAGAUUGAAGGUCGUUAUUCAUAUGACUUCUUCGGCACCGUAUGAGAAAUCAAAGUCUUCGAGUUCCGGGGGGGGGGGGUAUGGUCGCAAGGCUGAAACUUCAAAGAAUUGACGGAAGGGCACCACCAGGAGUGGAGCCUGCGGCUUAAUUUGACUCAACACGGGGAAACUUACCAGGUCCAGACAUAGAAAGGAUUGACAGAUUGAUAGCUUCUUCUUGAUUCUAUGGGUGGUGGUGCAUGGCCGUUCCUAGUUGGUGGAUUGAUUUGUCUGGUUAAUUCCGUUAACGAACGAAACCUUAACCUGCUAAAUAGUUACACGUAACCUCGGUUACGCGGGCGAGUUCUUAGAGGGACUUUGUGUGUCUAAUGCAAGAAAGUUUGAGGCAAUAACAGGUCUGUGAUGCCCUUAGAUGUCUUGGGCUGCACGCGCGCUACACUGAUGUGAGCAACAAGUGUCAACCUUGCCUGGAAAGGUUUGGUAUUUUUUCAAACUGCGUCGUGAUGGGGAUAGAUUGUUGUAAUUAUUAAUCUUUAACGAGGAAUUCCUAGUGAGUGCGAAUCAUCAGUUCGUGCUGAUUAUGUCCCUGCCCUUUGUACACACCGCCCGUCGCUCCUACCGAUUGAGUGGUCCGGUGAAUAAUUCGGACUGCAAUGCAAUUCAGUUAAUGAGUUUGUUGUGGAAAGUUUAGUGAACCUUAUCACUUAGACGAAGGAGAAGUCGUAACAAGGUAACC
rnacentral:rRNA from 1 species